rnacentral:tRNA from 1 species
GAGAGAUGGCUCAGUGAUUAAGAGUACUGACUGCUCUUCCAGAGGACCUGGGUUCAAUUCCCAGUAUCUACA